rnacentral:rRNA from 1 species
UACGGAGGUUGCAAGCGUUAUCCGGAUUUAUUGGGUUUAAAGGGUGCGUAGGCGGUUUGAUAAGUCAGUGGUGAAAGUUUGCAGCUUAACUGUAAAAUUGCCAUUGAUACUGUCAGACUUGAGUACAGAUGAGGUAGGCGGAAUGUGUAGUGUAGCGGUGAAAUGCUUAGAUAUUACACAGAACACCGAUUGCGAAGGCAGCUUACUAAACUGAAACUGACGCUGAGGCACGAAAGUGUGGGGAUCAAACAGG